GAGAUUUUACGAUUUUUUUAUAUUCUCCCGGAUUCUUCCUUUUCACUUACUCACACUGAUUCUACCCUUUUCCGGUACUCGUCGGACAGUUUUUCAGUAUUCGCACGGAUUCUAUCAUUUCCCGGUAUUCCACGAGAUUUUACGAUUUUUCGGUAUUCGCCCGGAUUCUACCAUUUUCAUUUAGUCACACUGAUUCAACCCUUUUUCGAUACUCCCCGGAC
rnacentral:lncRNA from 1 species